ensembl:lncRNA
AUGGAGGAGAAACGCCUUCCCACGCAAUGUGUGCCCACUGAGUCACUGCAGCCACACCAUAGUGGCACCACCGAGGGAGAGGUUGUUUUAUCCCAAGAAAAGGUCCCUUUAUUUAGCAGCACCUUCACCCUCAACAUGACUUCCAGAGCUGGGAGCACUCCUAGGCCAUGUCUUCUCCCAGAAACACUUUAUUUUUGUGAACACACUCAGAGGGCACCACCGCAGGAGCUUGGGAUCUAUCACAUCAUUGUGACAGCCACAAGGGGUGAGAACAUUGGGUAUUCCAAGAGGGGCACCAGGAUGAGGAUGCAGGUGGCUGUUUCCUUGGAUGGCGCCCAGGAGAUCGGCAAGCUGUGGGCUACAGGAUGCCAAAUCCAUUGGCCCAUCCACCAUAGCAAAUUGAGGAUGCAGGAGGGAUGCUCCAAAGCCGUGGCCAGCAAAGCCCAAGCAGCGAUCCCCACCCUGCUCAGUAUUAGGAAUGGCACCAUCCGGCUCAGUCCCCAGAGAAGUGGGGCACAUCUGCAGAGGGGCCUCCUCCAGAACCAACAGCAGGAGGUGACACAGUGCCCCAGCCCUGUUCCCUGCCUCCAUCACCCCUUUUGCUUGGGCAGGAGCUCCCAUUCAUCCCGCAGCCCCAACACUUCACAGCCCACCGUGCUCCGCCAAUCUUGCAGCUGUAGAUGCAGCCAAAACCCUAGCACCAUGCUUUGCCCUCCUACUGCCAGCUGUGAAAUGCCUGAGAAAGCAGCCCUCGUUCACACUUCGUUACACACACUGCACUUGUCUACAUUUUGACCUGAAGUGUGCUUAUUAACCUUUUUUGUGUGUGUGUAUGAUAAUAGUCCAGCAUCCUUUGUAGGCGAUCUUUCUUUCAAAGAUCUCCUUUUUGAUCUUUUCAUAGGCUAAGCAACAAUUCAUCCUAUAUAAAUCUGGGAUUGAAAGGACGUAAUUUGUUUUUCCUUGCUUUUUUGAAGCGGUGAGAGAUGAAACGACUCAAGGGAAUGUCAGCAGUGGUUAUAUCUUAAUUGGUUUUUCUCUGCAUCAAAAUGCCUUGAACUAUUCACUCGUGCACAGCAGUGCCGUGCGACCUUUCUGCCUCUCCCGACAUGUUGUAGCCCAUCUCCCACUUGAGGUGUUUUCACUGUUCGUGGCACUGACACUAAUUCUGCACCCACCCCUCCUCUUUCUGUCCAGGCAUAUCAAAGACUUUCAAAUGUGCCUUAAGCCAGGAGCGUGAAAAGGAAGAAGGAAGACUAUAUAAUUGGGUGAAAUUAAGAAAAAAAGGAGAGGGAGGGGAGAACAUCUUGCAGCCUUUCCUUCAGCCCACAUGCUGGUUUUCCCCGACGCAGUGGCUGCACGCUGGUGGAUGGGUGCACGUGGCCAACUUGUGCUCCUGCUCUCCUGACCUCAGGAUUUUGCCUGCAAGUGUGAACUUCCCUCUGUUGGCCAAUAAGGCCGAAACACAGGAGUUUCUCUUUUCCCCCUAAAAGUUGGGCAAGUGUGCAACAGCUGCAUUCUGGAGAAUCAUAGGAUUGUUUGAGUUGGAAGGGAUCCUUAAGGGCCAUCUGGUCCAAUUCCCUGCAAUGAGGAGUGACACCUACACUAGGUCAGUUGCUCAGAGCCCCAUCCUGCCUGACUUCGGAUGUCUCCAGGGAUGGGGCAUCCACCACCUCCCUGGGCAACCUGUGCCUUUGCCUCAUCUCCCUUACUGCUAAAGACUUCUUUUUGCUUUGUAGGAUGGUCAUUCAACAGCUCACAAGGAAUAGAGACCAAUGGUCCUUUCCAGCGUCGUGCCAUUCUGUUUAGUUUCUGCCCCACGCAAAUGCAAAAUAUUAUCACACAUAUUAUUUUCCUUUGGGUCAUGUUGCAUAAUGAGCACAUUCCUUUCCAUCCCGCUUCCCUUUCAGCCCUUUAAGCUCUGGUAUCGGCAAUGCUCAACCCGUGGGUGCUGGGGGCAGAGAAGGGGUGAGCAGCAGGUGGACAGCAUUGCUGCAGACCACCCCUUUCAGAGGGAAAAACUCGCUGUCGGGAUUUGGGCUUUUUGCAGGGUGAUAGCAGGAAGGUUGGUGUGAGCUGGCAAUGGGAGCCAGCGCUCACCAGGUUUCAUUCACCUGGGUCGGUGUCUGGAUUCCCACGGUAAAACCCGGCGGGUAAUGAGGCUUGUGCAAGAGCGGGGCGGCUGGGUGGAGCAGCUCGCUUGUGUAAGGGCGAGGUGAACAGGCAGAGAAGGGACCGGUCUGCAGGCAACGCUGGCACUUGGCGAACAGCUCAGCCUUCAUUCACAGGAUGCUUCAUUAACAGCGCACAGCCUUGGAGGGGUUCAUUCAGGUAUUUAGAUCCUCGCUUUGAACGCUUGUCAGACCUGAGUGGCUGACGGCCCAUGAGAGGAGGGAGGUAU